rnacentral:rRNA from 1 species
UGGGGAAUAUUGCACAAUGGGGGAAACCCUGAUGCAGCGACGCCGCGUGAACGAAGAAGGUAUUCGUAUCGUAAAGUUCUGUCCUAUGGGAAGAUAAUGACAGUACCACAGAAGAAAGCUCCGGCUAAAUACGUGCCAGCAGCCGCGGUAAUACGUAUGGAGCGAGCGUUGUCCGGAAUUAUUGGGCGUAAAGGGUACGCAGGCGGUUUAAUAAGUCGAAUGUUAAAGAUCGGGGCUCAACCCCGUAAAGCAUUGGAAACUGAUAAACUUGAGUAGUGGAGAGGAAAGUGGAAUUCCUAGUGUAGUGGUGAAAUACGUAGAUAUUAGGAGGAAUACCAGUAGCGAAGGCGACUUUCUGGACACAAACUGACGCUGAGGUACGAAAGCGUGGGGAGCAAACAGG